UACAGAGGUCUCAAGCGUUGUUCGGAUUUAUUGGGCGUAAAGGGUGCGUAGGCGGCGCGGUAAGUCGGGUGUGAAAUCUUGGAGCUUAACUCCGAAACUGCAUUCGAUACUGCCGUGCUUGAGGACUGGAGAGGAGACUGGAAUUUACGGUGUAGCGGUGAAAUGCGUAGAUAUCGUAAGGAAGACCAGUGGCGAAGGCGGGUCUCUGGACAGUUCCUGACGCUGAAGCACGAAGGCCAGGGGAGCAAACGGG
rnacentral:rRNA from 1 species